GAUGAACGCUAGCUACAGGCUUAACACAUGCAAGUCGAGGGGCAGCAUGACUUAGCAAUAGGUUGAUGGCGACCGGCGCACGGGUGAGUAACACGUAUCCAACCUGCCGAUUAUUCCGGGAUAGCCUUUCGAAAGAAAGAUUAAUACUGGAUAGCAUAACGAGAAGGCAUCUUCUUGUUAUUAAAGAUUUCGAUAAUCGAUGGGGAUGCGUUCCAUUAGUUUGUUGGCGGGGUAACGGCCCACCAAGACAUCGAUGGAUAGGGGUUCUGAGAGGAAGGUCCCCCACAUUGGAACUGAGACACGGUCCAAACUCCUACGGGAGGCAGCAGUGAGGAAUAUUGGUCAAUGGACGAGAGUCUGACCAGCCAAGUAGCGUGAAGGAUGACUGCCCUAUGGGUUGUAAACUUC
rnacentral:rRNA from 1 species